rnacentral:lncRNA from 1 species
GCUGAGCCACGAACUGGCCACUUCCCCGCGGGCGAGGGCCAGGGGUCGGGGCUUCUUCGGAUGGCUGGUGGUCUUGCGUGCUGUGGAUGGAUCUGAGUGUAGAAGGUGGGCCCACAAGUGUGCCCGUGUGGCCAAGUCCAGUGUGUGCUGCCUAAACGCGCGGUGCUUCUGCCUGGGCGCUGAGUCACUGAGUGUGUGUGCACCUGUCUGCAUUGUGUGAACGCUGCCCGUCUGGGAGUUCUCCGCCAGCCUCUCCUGGGAGUGUGCACGUGGGCAGUCUGGGCUUACUUGUGUAGGUGUGGGCUGCCUUUUUUGAGAUUUGUAAAUCGCUGCAGAAUUUAUUAAGCAUGAGGGAGGUGGGGAUUAGGAAUGGCCCUGCUGUGUAAUUUUCCAGAGUCUGAGUUGCCUUAAAGAAAGAAAAUGAAUUAAAAGAGAAACAGGAGUUCCCGUCGUGGCGCAGUGGUUAACGAAUCCGACUAGGAACCAUGAGGUUGCGGGUUCGGUCCCUGGCCUUGCUCAGUGGGUUGACGAUCCGGUGUUGCCGUGAGCUGUGGUGUAGGUUGCAGAUGCGGCUCGGAUCCCGCGUUGCUGUGGCUCUGGCGUAGGCCGGUGGCUACAGCUCCGAUUCGACCCCUAGCCUGGGAACCUCCAUAUGCCGCGGGAGCGGCCCAAGAAAUAGCAACAACAACAACAAAAAAGACAAAAAAAAAGAGAAACAAAAAGAAUUUCUUUCACAAUAUUUGUCAUGCCAUUGCCAAGGCCAUUGGUUAUCAAGAGAUUAGCAAUUUAGAAGGAAAAAGAUAACCUUUGCAGGCACUUAAGCAACAGACAUUAAGUAUGAACUAGCAGCUGAGGAUACAAAGAUCGUUAAGGCAUAGUCCCUGCCCUCACACCUGCCACCAGUCCUCCUCUCUGCACACGGGAACCCUAACCCUCUCUUCUAAACAAUCUCUGCCCAUGUCCACCCACCAAAAAAACAUCCAGAGCUGCCCACAGUCCAAAUGCCUGAGCCUGGCAUCUAAGGCUUGCACAGAUAGGCCUCUACUUUUUCCGAGCCUCUCAGAUUGUCCCUAGUCAAACCAUGGGCACCUAUACUCCAAAUUAUGUUCACACCACUCCCCUAAAUUUUCUGGUUCUUUCCUGAACUAGGUCUCCAUGCCUCCCCAAAUCUCUUCAGCCCAUCAUAAUCACUCUGUCCUGUGAAAUCUCAGAUUUACUGUGGUGCCACACCUUGGGUUUUUAUCAAUUUCUGUCAUUCUUCCACAAGAUCAUGAACUUAUCAUCAAUGCUUCAGUUUCUUGGGUAACACUACCAUACAUUGUUAUGGUAAACAUCAGUAAAUACUUGUCCAAGCUGAGGAACGAGAAGAAAAGCAAGAAUUCCUUUUCUUGCAAAUUUCUGUUAAUAAAUCCAUCCCCAAACAAUUCAAAACAGCAGGANNNNNNNNNNNNNNNNNNNNNNNNNNNNNNNNNNNNNNNNNNNNNNNNNNNNNNUAGUGGUUAACGAAUCGGCUAGGAACGAUGAGGUUGCAGGUUCGAUCCCUGGCCUUGCUCAGUGGGUUAAGGAUCGGCAUUGCUGUGAGUUGUGGUGUAGGUCGCAGAUGCGGCUCCGAUCCCACAUUGCUAUGGCUCUGGCGUAGGCCAGCGGCUACAGCUCUAAUAUGACCCCUAGCCUGGGAACCUCCAUAUGCUGUGGGUGCGGCCCUAAAAAGACGAAAGACAAAAAAGAAAAAAAAAAAAGGCUUUGAGCUUCUUGAAAUCAAGGACACUGUCUUUAUUCAACCCCUAGACACACCUUAGCUCCAAACACACACCUAAGAACGCAAGGCAUGUGUUGAAUAGAAUGAGAUGAAUUCUCGUUCCAACAUGUAAUGAAAUGUGUGUACAGAUUACUAGUCCCUGACGUUAAAGAGAGUUAACACAACUUUGUAUGUAGAUUUUAUUCUAAUAAAAUUAAGAGAGAAAGAGAAAGAAAAGGGAGAAAAUAGAGGAAAGUCGCAGGAUUUGAAGUCACUGCUAAAGAGAAAGUAAUGAGAAGUGAAGUAGACCAUUACAGGAAUGAACAGGUAAGCCAGAGAGGAAAAUUAGGGUGUCCUACAUAAACUUCUUCUACAGGGAACUCUUCUAUAACACACAUUGCACAAGAGUUUACUGUACUUGCAGGAGAUGUGGAAUGCAAUGUGUUUAGGAUUACUUAAUGAGAAUUGUUUUGGAAACAAGUGACACCCUUGGCAAUCUUUUAUCAACAGAACCACAAUAAUUUAUAAUAAUCCAGAUCCAGUCUAGCCAGUCAAGGUGUAGCAACAAGGGCUGAAUUUACUCAUCUGCUAAGACAACAAGAGCAAGCGAAGUACAUAAAACAGGCAGCAGUGCAGGACAGCGGUCCAAAAGGAAAAGGGAAACAAAUGAGGUAAGCACUGUGAUUGCCUCAGCUUACGGACUAGAAAGAGUUGCCAGGCUCUAGUGCAGAGAAGGGUAAUCCAGGAGGAGCUCAGCAGACUUCCUGAGCUUAGGAGAUGGAAGUGGGAGACCAGGAAGGCCAAAGCAGCGGGGAGUUGAGAGUAGAUUACCAGAAGGAAGAGAGCUGUCCAGAGAAAGAGGAAGCCCUGGAGACCUGCAAAAGUCCUGCUUUGGUCUUCAGUGGGCUAACACAUGAGUGGGAGGAUGCUACUCAUGGCCAGGCAAAGAACCACCUACACAGAGGUGGCAAUCACCAAGGAAUGCACAGGGCAGAGAAAUGUUCCUACUCCCACAAGGCAGAGUGAAAAGAUACCCAGUGAACAGGCAGGACCAGGAAUAGGGUGUGAUCCUGGGCCCCAAAUCAGAAAAUCUCAUGAUUCACAACUCAAAAAGUCUUGCCUCAGUAGUGCGUAAAAUUAAUCUUAGAGUAAAUGCUGCUCUAGUCCUACCUAACAUCUUAAAAGACAGCCCCCAAGGGGUGAAGCUUUCCAAGAACAAAAUAUCCCAAAGCAAAGCACAAGAAUACUUAGAGGAAAUAAAAAAUACCUAGCACCCAACAAGGUAGAGUUCAAAAGUCUCUCUUUCAAUCAAAAAUCAUCAAACAGGGAGUUCCCUUGUGGUGCAGCAGAUUAAGGACCCAGUGUUGUCACCACAGCAGCUCAGGU